CACAAGAGGAUGGUAUUUUAAAAUAGCUAAAUAAAACUUUAAUAGGUCUAGUUGCAAAUGUACAUAAAUUGCACAGCCACAUUUUGUCAACACAAAUUCCUCUGUACAUUAUUGUUUUGUCACUGUCGUCAAAGGAAGCAGAAUCCAGCAAAUACUUUAUACUUUCAACAUACUUACAAAAGUAUUUUCUACAAGAUAAUAGAAAACAUACAACAUCUUUUACUUUAUUUAUAGCUUUAUAUUUUUGAUUGAUCUUUUGUCGGACUGGCAGAAUUAUGAAGAGUGAGCUCUUGAAAUUAAAACUGAGGGUGGAAGCAUGGAUGUGAUGAAAUAAUUGAUAGCUGAGAAAUUAAAAACCAAACAUUAAAAAUGAGUCUUCUACCUUACUUUUUAAAUUUUUUUUUAGAUGUACUGAUGUGGCAUACAUGACAGCUUUUAUAGCGGGUUGACUUUUAAGUAUUGUACGCUGCAGUUUAAAGCAAGAUUAUGUCACUUUUACCGACCAACAAAAUAAAGCUAAACGCUAAACUACUCGUUACACUGAAUGACUAAAUGGAACCGUCGCUUAGCAACCGUUUAGCACUUAGCUAAAAUGCUAAGCUAUCGUAACAAAAGUGUAGGAAGUCGGUAAACUGAGUCAGUGCGAGCCGUACGCAAUAAAAUAUAUCCAAAAUCAGCUAACAUGAGCUAAUCUUAGCCACCGAAUGAACUGAAUGAACCUCAUCUUAGCAUUUAGCUCAAAUGCUAAGCUAAUGCUAACUUUAGCUAACCAUAGCCACCAAAUGCUAUUUGUCAUAAAAGAUGACGUAAAGCUGUCACAGUAGCAUCAAAAUUUUUGUUCAGCUUGUGUAAAUGCAGUAGUUUGGUUUAGCAUUUUGCUUUAAAAAAUGCUACGCUAUCGUAAAAAUUUUGCCUUUUACAUCAAAACGAAUCCAUAAAAUUUGCUAACGUUUGCUAACAUUAGCCACCAAAAGCUUCCGGUCGAAAACAGACCGAGUGACUAAAGUUAAUUAAAUUCAACAACAGUACGUUUUUAUUGUGUAUAAAUUCAGAUUUCCUUUUGUAAAGAACAUUUCUACUGUCCAAAUGAACAUAGUCUCGCUUUAAUAUCUGCAGUUGAAUAACGUUUUAGGACUGAAUGCUUUUAGAUAUGAUGAUGAGGAAAGCCCUAUAUGUCAGAUUUUUAUUUUUUUAUUUUUUGCAACCAGAGGAUUCUUCAGUCUGAAACAAUUUAUCCAAACAGGAAAAAAAGUUAAAUAGUUCUGUCGGUUUGUGAAUGAGCUAUACCCCCUCCCAAAAAAAUCCCUUUCUUCUGUUUUUGCCACGUUUUUUUGAACACCUAAAACAGAUGCUGUGCUUAAAAAAAACAACAACAACAACAAAAAACAAAAAAACAAAAAGCUAGUUUUAAACACCGACCACUGAACGUAAAAGUGCAUAGAGCUAGACUGAUGAGAAAUACAGGAUUGUGCUUGUGAAUCUCAUCGAGACCGGACUCAGCUUGGCCUGAAACCAACGAGGCAUCCUCCGCGACUUCCCCAAGAGUCGACCUCCUACUUAAUCAGCUUUUUUUGGCUAGUGAUAUUACACUCUAAAAAACACAAAAAACAAUAGCUUUAACAGGGAGAACACUGACAGGUUCAUUUAAUUGUAUAGUUCUACCCAAUGAGGACAGAUGACCGACUGAGCUAUUUCUGUAUUUACAAUAUCCAUAAUGAUACAGCAGAGUUUGAGCACAAGAUACAUUUACAAAAAGCUCUGUUAACAUUAGGUAAAAAUAGUGUGAGCAUUUUAUUUACACUUUCCCAGGCUGUCCAGCCUCUUAAUACACUCAAUUAUCAUAUAUUCACUGUAUAUGUCUGCAGCAAGCCAUUCGUCGUUAUCAUCAUCACCUUCCAAUUGGCAGAACAAGAAGAAAACAAAAAACGGUGAUACAGACAGCUACCAUCGGCUCUAGAGCGAGGAUGAAGCAUGCAGAGCCCCACACUUAGAUGUACACAGUCUGUUACAGGUAAGAAAAAUGAAUUUUUUAAAAAAAUUAUACAAAAUACAGAUGCAGAGGUGGUAUGGAGCGAUGAGAGCGAUGCCAGGAGAGGAUCUGAAGGACCAGAUGUUGAGACCCGACUAGCCCAGUUAUAGCAUCUUCACAUUCAGAAGAACACGGGAUGAUGAAGAGGGGUGGAGGCGAGUUAAGAAAAGAGGAGAGAGAUGAUGCCACUAGGAGUAAUAAGAGUCACAGUUUGGAUGCAGCAUACUUCAUUACCACUGACAGACAAAGCAGUUAAGAGAGAAAAUGUUGUAACUACGGAGGCCGUUAUUACAACGGCUCACCAGUCCAGUGUAUAGUAUGAGCGAGUGCGUCUAAACGCGUCUCUCAAUAGCUCUUGUGCUACCAGAGCGAGAAGACCACACGAGAUCAAACCGGACUCCAAACCUGGGUUUAACUGAGGGAGCAACGACGAGCACCGGAAGAAGAAGAACGGAUCACUUGCACCUGCACGAGCUGUUUUCCAUACUGUGUAUGUAAAGGGUGGAGCGUCGUGGAGAUUUGAGGUGGAGGUGGAGGGGGAUGACUGAGGUGACGGUGCCCGAUCGCUGCUCGGUGUGGUCUCCUCCUCCGGGGGCUCUAAAGCAAGCUACACACUACAGUCUUUGAUCGCGAGAGAAGAAAAAUAAAACUAGAUCUCACUCCUAAAUAAAGGGCUGCUUUUUUAUAUUUGAGAUUAUCAAAUAUAGAUAUAGAUAUGUGUGUAUACUCUAUAGAAGAAAGAAAAAAAAAGAGGAAAAGAAAUGCAUACAUCUAUAUUAAAUUGCAUUAAUAUAGCAUCACAUAGAAUUCAUUUUUAACUUUAGUGUUCAUAAUACAUCUAAGUGUGUACAAUUUCUUUUUGUAACCUUUACAAAUCCACAGUAUAAGUUGUGCCUUUUUUUUAAAUUUUUUUUGCAGAAAUAGGGGGAUCUGUGGGAUAAAGUCGAGGUGUGUUCCUUACUUAAGGCGUUUCAUGUACCAAUAGCUGUUCACAAAGUGCACUACAUAGGGAUGGAGUGGGUGGGGUGGAGGGGAACACACCCAAAGGAGUGAAAAGAGACAUAAAGAAGAUUGUUUUGGACUAAAAAUAUCUUUUUUUUUUUAAUAUUCUUUUUUUUUAGCUCCUAUUUGGUUCUUUAUAAAUGACUUUAAAAUAAAGCACUAAGAAAGUAAUCCUCUCAAGACAACUAAAGUGAUAAUCCUCAAUGCCUGUUAUUGUUUUUAAGUGGGUCCACUUGGUCGUCGAGAGGGAGAAGGAUAAAAGAGACAGAGGAGGAGAGAGGAGAGGAGGGUUGCUAGGGUGACCGUGUCUGGCGGUCGUCACUGUGUGUGGUUAUAUAGUGGUUCGUCCCGGGCUUAGGCAGGGUCUUGAAUUGUCCCAGCGACUGCAUACAUCCAUAAAAGUAUUUGACUGAUGGACAGUUUUUUUAUAUGUACAAGCUCCGCCCCGCCGUCGUCCUCGUAACGAAGGCCGUCUGGUGAUCUUGUUCUCUCUCUGUCACGAUGAUGGACCUCACUCCUACACCGGCGAUAAAGUGGAAACGUCUUCCAGAAGUACUACUUGUAUGUCCGCUUUUUAUUAAAAAAAAAACAAAAA